rnacentral:rRNA from 1 species
AUUGAACGCUGGCGGCAUGCCUUACACAUGCAAGUCGAACGGCAGCACGGGAGCAAUCCUGGUGGCGAGUGGCGAACGGGUGAGUAAUAUAUCGGAACGUGCCCAGUCGUGGGGGAUAACGUAGCGAAAGCUACGCUAAUACCGCAUACGAUCUAUGGAUGAAAGCGGGGGAUCGCAAGACCUCGCGCGAUUGGAGCGGCCGAUAUCAGAUUAGGUAGUUGGUGGGGUAAAAGCCUACCAAGCCUUCGAUCUGUAGCUGGUCUGAGAGGACGACCAGCCACACUGGAACUGAGACACGGUCCAGACUCCUACGGGAGGCAGCAGUGGGGAAUUUUGGACAAUGGGCGCAAGCCUGAUCCAGCAAUGCCGCGUGCAGGAUGAAGGCCUUCGGUUGUAACUAGCUUUGUUACGGAACGAAACGGUUACUUUCUAAUUACAGAGAGCUAAUGACGGUACCGUAAGAA